GGGCAUGUAGUGUAGGGUUAUCGCGUCCGCUUUGCAUUUAUAGUCCACUGUGGUGUCAAUGCGGAAGGUCUCCGGUUCAAUUCCGGACUUGUCCA